CCUACGGGUGGCAGCAGUGGGGAAUAUUGGACAAUGGGGGGAACCCUGAUCCAGCGACGCCGCGUGAGUGAAGAAGUAUUUCGGUAUGUAAAGCUCUAUCAGCAGGGAAGAAAGGAAUGACGGUACCUGACUAAGAAGCCCCGGCUAACUACGUGCCAGCAGCCGCGGUAAUACGUAGGGGGCAAGCGUUAUCCGGAUUUACUGGGUGUAAAGGGAGCGUAGACGGUUACGCAAGUCUGGAGUGAAAGGCGGGGGCCCAACCCCCGGACUGCUUUGGAAACUGUAUAACUGGAGUGCAGGAGAGGUAAGUGGAAGUCCUAGUGUAGCGGUGAAAUGCGUAGAUAUUAGGAGGAACACCAGUGGCGAAGGCGGCUUACUGGACUGUAACUGACGUUGAGGCUCGAAAGCAUGGGUAGCGAACAGGAUUAGAUACCCGGGUAGUC
rnacentral:rRNA from 1 species